UACGGAGGGUGCGAACGUUUAAUCGGAAUCACUGGGCGUAAAGCGCACGUAGGCGGAUUGUUAAGUCGGGGGUGAAAUCCUGAGGCUCAACCUCAGAACUGCCUUCGAUACUGGCGAUCUUGAGUCCGGAAGAGGUUGGUGGAACAGCUAGUGUAGAGGUGAAAUUCGUAGAUAUUAGCUAGAACACCAGUGGCGAAGGCGGCCAACUGGUCCGGAACUGACGCUGAGGUGCGAAAAGCGUGGGGAGCAAACAGGG
rnacentral:rRNA from 1 species